UACGUAGGGUGCAAGCGUUGUCCGGAAUUAUUGGGCGUAAAGAGCUCGUAGGCGGUUUGUCGCGUCUGCUGUGAAAACUCGUGGCUUAACUCCGGGCCUGCAGUGGGUACGGGCAGACUAGAGUGCGGUAGGGGAGACUGGAAUUCCUGGUGUAGCGGUGAAAUGCGCAGAUAUCAGGAGGAACACCGGUGGCGAAGGCGGCUCUCUAGUACGGUACUGACGCUGAGACGCGAAAGCGUGGGGAGCGAACAGG
rnacentral:rRNA from 1 species